GGCUGGUCUGAGUGCAGUGGUGUUUACAGCUAAUUGAUCACAACCAGUUACGGAUUUCUUUGUUCCUUCUCCACUCCCACUGCUUCGCGUGACUGGCCUUAA
rnacentral:Y_RNA from 1 species